rnacentral:rRNA from 1 species
GACGAACGCUGGCGGCGCGCUUAACACAUGCAAGUCGAACGGAAAGGCCUGCUUUCCCUUGUGGAUUGCGGGUACUCGAGUGGCGAACGGGUGAGUAACACGUGAGUGAUCUGCCCCCAACUUGGGUAUAAGCCUGGGAAACUGGGUCUAAUUCCCGAUAGGACUGCAGGGUGGUGUCUGUGGUGGAAAACGAUUUUCUAGUGGUUGGGGAUGAGCUCGCGGCCUAUCAGCUUGUUGGUGGGGUAAUGGCCUACCGAGGCGGCGACGGGUAGCCGGCCUGAGAGGGUGGACGUCCAGAUUGGGACUGGGAUACGGCCCAGACCACUGCGGGAGGCGGCAAUGGGGAAAAUAGUAAAACGGGCGGAAGCAUGAUGGAGGGAGGCGGAGUGGGGGAUGACGGGAUUCAGGUUGUAAACCGCUCGGGAAAGCGAGGAAGACACUUGGUUGGAAGGGUGGUGACGGUAGUGGUAGAAAAAGAACCGGCUAACUACGUG